UGGAGAGCUGUGCUCGUGCACGAUUUAGUUGCUGCUGCCCUGGAAAUCUGCCCGUGCUCAGGUGGAGGAGGAACCAGGGAGCCGGCCCGGUCUCGGAAUCUGGAAUUUUCUGAAGGAGAUCCAAGCCACCCCCAAAAGAUCAAUGGAGGGUGAUUUGACCAAGAUCUCCAAUUGAAUGAUGCUGCUUAACUUGGAAAAGCCUUGUUUGAGAAAGUAUGCUUUUCCCCAGACUUUUAGGAGUCUGAGACCCUGAAUUUAGCUUCAGGGUUCAUUCCUGUCACAUUCAGUAUGAAUAGAACAUCAGCCUAAGCACAGAGAUUAUCCUGAAUAAAGACUUCAUACUCAAGAAUAACCUUAUGAAGGCUGUCAUUUUGUCAAGGCUUUCAGUCUAAAAUAUUACUCUCCAUCAGAAAAUUUCAGGAGGAAGAUUGUGGGAAGAUGAUGGAGCAGGUCAAGAAAUUCCAAAGUCUCUAGAUUUCCCCUACAAACAAAACAAACAAGUUGUGCCUUAGAGUGUAGGUAACAAAUGAAAGUGUGUGAAAAACAAAUAAGUUUUGGGGCACGGCUGGGUCUUCCAAGAUAACUGUUUCCCAGAAGAAAAAUUCCAGGAGGAAGGAUUAACCAAUGUAAAGUGCACACACUUCCAGGCUAACUUCCAGCACCAAGGGGGAGCUAGGGUUAACUGGGUUUAAAGGUAGCCUCAGCCAGAAGCAUAGGAACUCCCACUUUUCCAGCAGUUUAGUUGAGUCAGGCAUCUGAGAAGAGGAAGAUUGAAGGAACCUCUGCUGAUAAGAAAUCAGCUACUGGGUGAGAAGGAACGGGCAUACCCAGUGGGAGUGCUGCCGUGGGACAGGGAAGCUGCCAGCUGCAGGCACAGAGGGGUAGAGUUCUUGGUUUGGGGUUCCAGUCCAGAGAGGAAAAGUAAAGUCCAAGGCAUCGCCUCCCCCAGGUUCCAUGUCACACUGAGAAAAAGAUAUUCCUUUCUGUCCCCAUUCAACAUUCUCCAAAGGGAAAAAACAAAACAGAAAAUGAGAAUGAAAAAUAAUGCAGAUAUCAGCUGCUUUGGGAGAUGAAAAGUGAAAGAAGGGCCAAGAAUACUCAUCACAGGCAAAUGUGAGCAUGGUUCAGAAUAUAGUCUUACACUAUAGACAGAUAAGCAAAGGAAUCCAUAUACUUAACCUGGAUUCUAGAUCUUUCUUAUGUGAUGAAGUCCUUUGCCUACCAAUUAAAUGUCCACAGAACCUGGAAAAUCACAGAAUUUCACAACUGGAAAGGAACUUGGAAGCCAUUUUUCUGAACAUAACACAAAUAAAAUGAAUUUCCAUUUAUGUAGCAAGAAAAAAUAUAAAUGAAACUAUGAAUCUAUUACAUACAACUAGCUUUCCCUUUUAGGUUUAUAAUUCAAGAUGUAGUUUUCAAAGCUGUCCCAUUUAUAUAUCUUCUUCCUUCUGUUCUUUUCUGCUGCCCCUCUUCCCAUAAAACAAUUAGCAAACAAAAAAAUAAGACAACAAAUACACACAAUCCAGCAAUUCCCACAGGAAUUUAGACAAAUUCACUCAUAAUUUGUCCAAAACAGCAUUCUUCACUUUAGAUUUUUAAGUCUAUCCAUCUCUAGUAGUAGUUGGGUGGCAGGAUCUGUUUUCAGAUCUCUGGACUCUUGGAUCACAUUUCAAAGAUACACAUUUUGAAAGGCAAUGUCUCUAUAAAAACCAAUUGAAGACAAUUUGCAAAGGCAAUUUAAGAAUCACAGGUUUCUCAGAAUGUGUCAAAAACCCCCCCCCCAAAACUGAGUUACUUCAUGUAGAAAAUAAUGCAAGAGAGCUGCCCAUAAUUUGUGAAUUCAGAAAACAAGGCACAAUCAAGAAAAUCUAGAUUAUCUCCAGAAAAGCAGAAACAAAACAGUAUAGCAGAGUGGUUAGAAAACUGUACUAAGAGUCAGUCAAUGAAAUAAAGCCCUACCAAAAUGUUAAAUACUCAAAUGAACAAACCCAAAUAGAGAUCUUAUAGAUGCCAAUCAUAGGAAAGGAAAGAGAACUAACUGUAAAAGGAUCACCAAAACUCUUUGUUCAGAUGGACUGGAAAACACAACCAGAUUUUAAAUAAUUUUAAUUAUUCUAUUCAAAUUAUUCUCAGAAGUUGAGAAAACACUCUACUGAUGAGGAAAAUAUAGUUCUACUACCUAA